rnacentral:misc_RNA from 1 species
GAUGAAGAACGGAGCGAAAUGCGAUAAGUAGUGUGAAUUGCAGAAUUCAGUGAAUCAUCGAAUCUUUGAACGCACAUUGCGCCUCCUGGUAUUCCGGGAGGCAUGCCUGUUCGAGCGUCAUCAAAAACCUCAACCCAUGAUUCAUUGUGAGUUGGUUCUGCAUUGGACUCCUUGUGGGUCCUUUGCGAAAUCCAAUGGCGAAGAGCCACGCAACCAAAGCGUAGUAUAACUAUUUCGUUAUGGAAGCGUGGGUGCCUCUGCCGUAACCCCCAAUUUCUUAGUUUUUGACCUCGGAUCAGGUAGGGAUACCCGCUGAACUUAAGCAUAUCAAUAAGCGGAGGA